rnacentral:tRNA from 1 species
UGGGGGAUCGUAUAAUGGCAGUACACAUGGUUUUGGUCCAUGGAGUUGGGGUUCGACUCCCUGUCCCCCAGCUA